rnacentral:lncRNA from 1 species
CUGCUUUCGGUUGGUCCGGCAAGGCUGCCGGUCAUGAUAGUUAUGGGAUUAUGAACUUGUGGGCUGUGGGAGUGCUCGGUGGCGCCCACCACCGCCACCAUCGGCUUUUCAGGCGUGCUACUGCUACCCCCUUGCAAUAAAGAAGCUGCAAUGAAACCAUGCAGAAAAUUACAAUAUAGCACGUGGUUAAGAAGCCUCCCAUCUCCUAUUGUGAUCCUAACUCUUAGCUUCUAAUGUUACCUGCAUGUGCAGGAAAUGCCAUGACCUGAUGACAGAAUAGAAACCUUAAAAAAAAAUAAUAAUGGAACCACAAAAGGAAUGACAGUCUUUUAGGGUGCAUAUUAAAAAUAGCAGACUUGGAAAAAAGCCAUGUUCAAAGUCCCAUUUCUCAAGGAAAGUGGACAACUCCAACUCCAACCCCAAAUAUUUAAAUGUCACCCAAAAUGAGAUAUGGUAUGUCUGCUAGCAGAAUAGAAAGCAAAGAAUUAAUUAUAUGUUGCAAUUUUGGAUUACGUGCAGCAUUCAGAAAAGCUUCACAUGCCCUUGUGGUUUUGUUCUGUAUGGUAUCAUUUCUCUUUUGUUAUGGAAAUUGAACUCGGGAUUCUAUCUUUCGAACAAUUCUCAAACUUUUUAACCGUUAUGACUGAAUUCAUUGCAGAUAAAAUGAUAGUAGCUUACUGGAGCCCCGACCUUCUUUAGCUUCUCUGCUGGAGUAUUUUAUCCAAGAAACUGCCAGUCAUAUCAAUUAUUAUGAGGAAUAAUGACCUAGGAAGCCGCCUCAAGUAUUAUUAGGUAAUUAAAAUUCUCUUUUUAUAUAAUGACGAUGAAGAUAAAUCCACAUGGUAUGACAAAAACGGUGGCUGGGGGUGGGGGCGGGGGGUUAUCCAGCUUCCAAUUGCGUUACUUAAAAGGCUGGCUGUUAAUGGAUUGAUGGCAAGUACGUGGCGCAGUUUUCGGCAUGACAAGUACCUAUGGAAUUAUUAAUAUUUUUGUCAGUGUUUCCCUUUGUAUUUACAUUAUUGCCCCUAUCAAACUAACCGUCUAAAUCACUCCUCCUUCUGAGACGUCCCAUGAACAUGGAACCCAGUCUCUGUGCCUAUAUCAGAUCGAUCUUAUGCCAGAGUUCAUUUUGAAUUAUUGUACAUAAGAAACCAUUAAAAAAAAAAAGAAAGCAAGAAAGAAAGAGAGAAACCAAUAUGAUUUUUUACAAUGUCAAAGCAAGAGGAUUGACGAUAAGGAAAAUUUAGUUAUACAAGUGAUUUGACCUCUUGGACUUUUUUUAACUUGGAUACAGACAAGGUCUGGGUUGAAAAACAGAUCCUACAAAUGUUUGAAUUGAUGCUUCAGAAAUGAGAUGAGCCAAAAGGAUUUUAAUGCAGUGAAGAAUCUGAUUCCAUUUCAUUUGGAAGCUACAGCCUGCAGAAUGGAGGAAAAUUGACAGGUUUUGUUACUGCCAAUUCCUCUUUGUCAUUUUAGUGAACAGAGAAAAUGGCCUUGAUAACAAAAAUUUUUGGCACACGUACUCAAAUAACUUGGGAUAAAUUCUUGAGGAAGCCAAAAUAGCAGCCCCAAUUUUACUCCGAGAUAGUAGUAUAAUUGUUGGGUUUGAGUUUUAUCCCAUCAAUCGUUUAUUUGAAUAAAAUCCUAGCCCAUAUUAUCAUGAUUGAAUACAUGAUACAUAUGCAAAAUCUUAAUUUUAAAUUUAAAUUAAGAUUAAUUAUUAUGCAUCUAACCGUGCAUUGACAAUGCAUCAAAGAUUAAUUAUGAAAGUAAUUAUGACAGAGAAACGGUUCCAAAACAUGGUCACGUUUUGAUGAUCAAUGUAAUUACUUCACGUAGACGCCAAGCUCUUUGACAAUAUUCUAGCCAUCCCAACAAAUCUUCCUUGAUUUUUCAGGAAGUAAUUUUUUUUUCUCUUUGGGUAAAAGAACAAUUAUCAAGAGAGAGAGAGAGUUGCUUGCUUACCUCUUGGUGAAAUUGCAAUGGAGCCAUAGUCUCUCUCACCAUUGGCAAUGGGAUUGGACUUCUUUUCGCCACCUCGCUGCUGCGACGCUUUUCUUGAAAGGCUUCUCUGUAACUUUUUUUUUUUUUUUUUUUUUAAUCCACAAAUUGACAAGCGUAUAUUAGGGACAAAAAGCACAUCCUUUAUAAAUUCUAGCAAUCGUCUUUCUAAACCUACUGUAGCAAUUGCUCAAAAAAAAUGUUUAUCAUUUUAAGUACUAGACUUUCCAAGGUUGAGGUUGGUCGGCGUUUGCUGAAACUGAUGACGACUAAAAUUCUGUGGAAUGGGAAUAUUGCUAGCCUCUUUAUUUUCAACGUUUCAUAAAUGAACAGAAGCCAUAAUGAAUAGGCAUUUAAGUGAGCUUUCAAGGUAGGCAAAAAAGGCAGUAGUAUUUAGAGAAAGAAAAUGGAAGAGAAAUGAUGGUCAAGACCAAAUAGGAAAAUACGAAGAAAAAUAUAAACAUAUUUUGAGCCAUAAGUAAAGCUUCAUAAGAUGCAGAAUGAUUGCAAAGAGAAUUGUAGAGUAUAUUAAUCAAGGAGAAGAAGUAACUGUAAUUCUGGAGUUGGCUUUGAUAUCUUUGUCAGUACUGAGAUGUGAUGCGAAACGCUCUAUAUCCACUAUGAAGCUAUCAGAUGCUUUCCGGGCUGUGUAGUCCUCCACACCAUUUGUUUGAUGGGAAACUGAUAUUUCCUGGGCACCUUUGUCUACCAAUUCACUGACUUCAUUGAUUGAGCUCAGAUUCUCAGACCCCAUAUGUUCCUGCAGCUGCAUAAUUGUCCAAGACAAGGACAUGCAGAUAAAUUAACUUUACUUAUCCAACAUCAUAUUAAUUGGAGAACCCUAAAGAGAGAGAGAGAGAGAGAGAGAGAGAGAGAGAGAGAGAGAGAGAGGCAGAGAGAAGUGAAGAAAGAAAUCGAUUCGGUUUUGAAGAAGUAGUCCUAUCAGGGGGUUCCAACUUCCAACUUCCAACGAAGCGGUUGUGGAAACAAUCUAGAAGAGUAGACAUGAAGAAAAUACAAAAUUAUAGUAAUAGAAAGGUACAAGCGAGAAGAAGCUCUGGUUACCAGCUUUGGAUUUUCCAUAAUUCCCCAACAACUUCCGACUUUCGGAGGGGAAAGAUGGUGAAAACAAGAAGGCCAGAGAGAAGAUUGAGAGAAAAAGAGAUUUGGAGGGUGACACUAACACCAACUUGCGUACCCCCAGUUGGCCGAGGGCAAAAUCACUAUCUACUAGUACCUGAUCCCAUUUGAUGCCAAAAAAACAAUUAGCAAGCUAGUAGGAUAGUCAACUUUGUCUUUAGGACUAAAGAAACUUAGUACUACUUAAUAUUGAGGUAAUUAAUAGAAUUUCUUAGUACUACUUAAUAUUGAGCUAAUUAAUAGAAUUUCUUCUCAUGAACCAAAUGAAAGGCUUCAGUUUUCAUUCAACUACUUCUAACUGCUAUCUAUGGUUAUUCAUUUAUGGCGUUGAAAUAUGUUGACAAACCUGAACACUUGCGCAAAGUCUUCCUCUUCUUCAACUUCGUGCUGUCUUUUCUUUCCUUAUCAACCAAUGAAACAGUUGCAAAAACUCACACGGCAAGAAGUUGGAUACGCAUGAAGAGAUGUUGGAAGUGAUAACGUGCAGGGGUUCUAACCGAUGUGUUUAUGUUUUUGAUUGCAACUGAAAGGCUUUUACCAGUAGUAUAUAGCACUGGAGGAUAGGAAAGAAAGGUUCAUCUGAGAAGAUGAGAGAGCAUCAGAGAAUUUCGAGGAUGAUUAGAGAGAGAAGAGGAGAGGUAAAGUGGGAGAGAGUUGGGAUUGGAAGAGAAAAACUUGGUAC